UUUGAACGUCAAUGAAUUUUAGCGCGGAAACAGAAGAGAGCACGGCUUCUUUAAGAGAAAGCACGUGACGUUUUGCACCUUUUAAGCAGAGCAAGAUGGCUCUCUUCGAGUCAGGGGAGGUGGAGAAAUGUGCCGUGGCUUUGCUCCCCCGGAAUUUCAAGCGAAGGCUAGCUUUGCAUCAGAUCCCACAAGGUAGUCUGAAAAGGGGCUGGAAGGAAAAUGAGCUGGGUGGAAUGGAGACAUCGCUCAGCCUCUAACUGCUUCCAAAUUGAGAUAUGGAAAGAGAAAGCAACUUGCAAGGCAGUUGCCGCAGGAUGAACCCGGACUGAGCUGAGACUGCCAACUGGAGGACGAGGAUGCAGAACGACGAUAAUCGUUGAAUCCGAAAAGCAAGAUUCUGCAAAGCCACUUCCGGCUUGCCCAGGAGGUAGGGGUUGCAGGCUUCACGCCCACUCCACGUGAGGGGGGGGGCUGGUCGCAGCCCCCGCGAGAGCAGGGGAAUCCCGGCCGGGCCUGUCCUAUUUAGGGCCGGCUCAGAGGGGGCUCGCCCUCUUUUCGCCCUCUCGUUUGUUUCCCGCAUAUCAGCUGUUCCAGUUUGUCGGAGAUCUUAUCUGCUGUUGCCUGGAGCGUUCCUGCCUUGCUUCUUUGUUGCCUUUUGUUCUUGAGCGGCAGGGCACCUCGUGGAAUAUGCUGUAGCUUCACAGAAAAAGCUCCCUUUCUUUUACAGAGAAUUUCCAGCAUUCGCUGCUGGUGUUGCUUUAUUGCUAAACUGCUUGAUGUUCAGUUGUUAUCUUUAGGAGCUGAAACCAAUUUGGGGGCUUUUCUCCUUCUGGGGGUUUCCCCCUUUGCGCUUCAUUCCAGCUGCUGCAGUUUAACACCGGAGCAGUAAUGGAGCUAAAAUCACUGUGUGUGUGUGUGCUUUCCUUCCAGCAUCUCUUUCACGUCUACAGUUUUAAAGGGAGCUCUGUGUGUUUCAGUGCAAGUUCCCUGCUCUCAGGAGCUUGCCGUGCCUGCUGCAUGCCCCCUUCAGAGGAAUUUAUUCAGCUUUGUGGAGCUUUUUCUGCUGAUCCGUUGCUUGCCCUCGGCUGCUGACUGCCUGUUCUGCAAGGAGCUCAAGGAAGAACGUUUGGCUCCUCUUCCUUAUUUCCACGGAGGACGCAGCGCACCCAUCCAAUCAGGUUUUGCUGUUGGGGCUUCAGGUUUUAGCUAGGGGUUUGUGCAGGGGAGCGUGGUGCAAUUAGGCGGAACGGCAGCUGCGGGAGGAGAGCGGGCUGCGUUUUGUGCCGGUUGUGUUUCAUUUUGUGUUUCAUUUUCUUGCCGGGGUGAGGGGCAGAAUUUCUGGUUAAAUAAUCAUUUCAGCAGCAUUCUUGAGGGGUUGAGUGGGUUCCACAGAGCAUCGCUUCCUCUACAGGCUGUUUUAUUUUCGUGCGGAAGUUUAGACUUGGAAAACCUCGGAAGCAGCUGCGCCGUUGCCAGGCAACCAGCGCGCCCCGGCCGCCAUUUCAUCCGCCCACGUGCCCUUCCGGGUGGCCGCCAUUUUACUAUAGGCAUUCCACGUGGGAAGUAAUUUUACAAACACUCCCUUUUAAGCUUAACCGGUGAGAAAACCAGGGGAAUAAUUAACGUUCAUAAGGGGUACGUGGGGAAUGCCUGCAGGUUUUGCUCUUGAGGCUGCGGAAUUUUUCAGUAUUAAAGGGCUAGCGUUAGGAACGCAUUACAGCUGCCAUUUUGAUUGCCCAUGUGGCCUUGCAGUGGCAGCCAUUUUAGGAGAGGCAAAAGCACGUAGGAGCUAUCUCCUUUUCGAGUGCCCCUCACUUUCUCGUUGGUUUUAAAUUCAAAAGCAAUAUAAACAAAGGAAAUAAACAUAAGCAAUAUAAACAAAGGAUGAUAGCGCAAUUAUUAAUAGAGCCUAGCUUAAAUAAGAGUGCACAAGGGGCUGCAGGGAGCCCCUCCUCUUGGUGCAUAAGCAUGUAUAGAGCUGGCUACAGCGUCUCUGGCUAGGCUGAUCUUAGAAUUGAUAUCCUCUAAUUAAUUUGACUGCUUUUGUUUAUACUUACACUCUUGAGAAUUUCAUUCUGGGAAUUUACGAAACGCAUUUAAAUUAAACUGAAGCAUUAGUGCACAGUAUAUAGGAAUUCAAAUUAUUUCAUUCAGCUUGUGGUGCUCUGAGGAGCUGUAUCAUUUACUCUCUACCUAGGCAUUAAGUUUUAUAAUUUGGUAUAGUCAAUUGAUAGUAAUAAGGAAAAAGAGAUCCGGGUUUUAUAUCAUUUGAUUUAUUAAAGGGCUUCUUCGCCUGCAAAAUAAUCUUUGCAUACAGGUUUAUAGGGAAUCUAAAGUAUAUAGCUCAUGCCUCUUCUACAUUCAUCUCUUUCUGGUAUUUCAUCUGUUAGUCUAUAGGUAUAUAUUUAAUCUGGCAAUUUAAUUCAUUUGGUUGAUUUUGAUAAUAGUGCUUAAGGGCUCUUGGGAGCUUUGCUUUGCUUAUAGGUUUGUUGCAUAAGUCAAUUUAUCAUUUUUUCACUACUGUAUUGCUGGGUUACAAUUUAUAAUUCUACCUCUAGCUUGCUGCAUAGCUGCUUGCAAUAUCAAAGGUUCUCUUCUGUUUAGUAUAGACUCAGUAUUCCUCUAAAUACAUUGCUUUGAGGUGUGGGCUGGUAUUUUGGACUGCCAUCCAGUGCAGAUAAUACCGAGCUACGGUGAUACUGUUUGCAGCUAAAUACAAUUUGUUGGAGAUUAGUUAGGCAUCUUUGGGUACUUUAAACUUACCAGUGCAGACAAUACUGAACUACCGUGAUAUUGCUCGCAGCUCACGCAUAUAAUCCAAGCUAGUUGGCGUUGAAUUUACAGAACCAGGCUAAUUAAGGGUAUCAAACUAUGUCUGCUCAAGAGAACCAGCAAAAUGCUGCUAUAUCUGGGGUGGCACAAGGGAACCAGGAGGGGUCCCAGGCCUUCAUAGUGCCUAGCAACCCACAGGCUUUGGCACAGUUGUUCAAUGCUUUUUAGACAUUUUAUAGGCAAUAUAGGCCCACAGACGAGGUGGCAGCGGUACCUCUGGCGCUCACCCAAGAAUGCAUCCCAGAUACGCCACCUAACAUUGUGGACCGCCCCGGCACCUCCGCGUAGUCUGAAAAGGGGCUGGAAGGAAAAUGAGCUGGGUGGAAUGGAGACAUCGCUCAGCCUCUAACUGCUUCUAAAUUGAGAUAUGGAAAGAGAAAGCAACUUGCAAGGCAGUUGCCGCAGGAUGAACCCGGACGGAGCUGAGACUGCCAACUGGAGGACGAGGAUGCAGAACGACGACAAUCGUUGAAUCCGAAAAGCAAGAUUCUGCAACCACUUAGCAGUGAGCAGCGGCGGGCACUUUGCAGCACAAACAAGCAAACGCAUUUCUUUACUCAGAAGUAUGGAGCGGGGCGGAGCCACAGUCCGGAGCGUUUUCCCGCUUAAGUCCAAUGUUGUCGCGUUACUGGGCAGCAGCAGUAGAGGAAGACGCACCGCCGCUGCUGCUGCACGCCUCGCUCAGCCCGCUCCAUCAGUGCAGCAAGGUUGACUGAGAAGCUGUGAAAGUUGGAUCCAGAGCUUUGACACACUAGAAAUACCACGUUUUCAUGCAAAGCAAAAUGUGGACAACCCCCGCCCCCCGAAUUUAUUUAAAACAGGCAUGUCCAACAGGUAGAUCAUGACCUACAGGUAGAUCAUUGGACGUCUGUGGUAGAUCACUGGUAGCUCAGUGGCUCCUCCCAAAGAAGAGAAGCUCAACAAGUUUGAACCCCAAAGAAAUGGGCUUUCCUCAUCCCUCAAAAAAGCUCAACAACUUUGACCUGAACCCCCAAAAAGAGGGUAGAUCACCGCCAGUCUUUAACUCUUGUGAGUAGAUCACGGUCUCUUGGGAGUUGGUCACCCCUGAUUUAAAAUAUAGAUGCUCUGCCAAUGGAACUAUGUGCAAAACUUUGAGGGUGAAACUACAAUAAGCAGACCAUGUGAAUCCACUUGUGUUUCCCAUAAAAGCUUUUAAGCAGCAUGACUACUUAGAAAUAAUUUUAUUUUCCUGCCUUUUUUUUAGCUACCUUGGAUAUGUGAUAAUGGUGGGCUAGAAAAAUUGAAGAUUUGUAUUUUCAUUUUUGUUCUGCUCAUGCCUAUGGCAAUUACACAGGUGUACAUGUUACCUUGCUUUGAGAACCAUUCCCAGAUUUCACAAUGAAAGUUAGUCCAACACUCUUACUGAAAAGCUAUUAUAAUCUUAUCUACUUUAAGGUUGAGGAUUGUUGAGAAGUUUGGGUGCAAUUCAGCAGAAGAGGGGUCUUGCAUGGGUUAAGACAGUUAGGUACCUCCAGAUUUCCAGACUAUCCCUAUACCUUUAACCUGUAACUCUUUUACUCUGUCAGGCAUCAUGAUAUUAGAAUGAUAUUGUGAGAUUACAUUUCUCUCUGCCCUGAAGUUAAGAGGUCAUUCUGGAACUAUCCUCCGAGAGAUCAAAGGAGCCAACAUGGCUUUGUUCUACUGUAGACUAGUUGGGUAGAAAUAUUCCUAGUUCUAGUCUGUAUUUCCUACAAUAAACUAUUUGGUUACUUUUUUUUACAAA